CGUGCAUGAGCUGCUUUGACUGAAGAUUUCGUGUGGAUUUAUAGUUUAUGGACUGUUUUGAUUUCGAUAAUUAUAUCUAGAAAGGGAAAAUCAUUGAUGGCAUUGAUAAAAGAUAUCUUUGAAAUCGAAACUAAAGCGAUGAUUGCCUCGGCCAGCGGCGCAGUGGAGAGGACGCGAGAGGAGAGGACUCUGCGUUUGUUGCUGAUGAAGAUUAGUGAGCAGCAGCAGCAGCUGGCACAGCUGGCAUCACAUUUCCAGGAGGCAGCUGGGUGAUGUUCAACACAGCGACAUCUCUUCUCUUCUCUGAUGACUUGUUCAUCAGCUCGAGGGUGGGACAAGAGGAUGUCACUCACAUGAGAUCACAGCAAUUGCAAACCAUAAUGAUUCAAUCAGUUCCUGAUGGACAAAAUUAACUCCCUUUUUUUAAAUACAUUUUUCAAAAAAGAGAUUUAACUGAGACUGAAAAGUCAAAAAUUAUUAAA